UGAUGACCAUACGGUGGACGGGUGAGUACUGCGUUGGGAACAUGCCUUGAGGUGGGGGACAACCGUUGGAAACGACGGCUAAUACCGCAUAAUCUCUACGGAGCAAAGAGGGCUUAGGCUCUCGCCUUUAGAUUGGCCCAAGUGGGAUUAGCUAGUUGGUAAGGGAAUGGCUUACCAAGGCGACGAUCCCUAGCUGGUUUGAGAGGAUGAUCAGCCACACUGGAACUGAGACACGGUCCAAACUCCUACGGGAGGCAGCAAUGGGGAAUAUUGCACAAUGGGCGCAAGCCUGAUGCAGCCAUGCCGCCUGUGUGAACAAGGCCUUCCGGUUGUAAAGCACUUUCAGUCAAGAGGAAAGGGUAUGUAGUUAAUACCUGCUAACUGUGACGUUACUGACAGAAGAAGCACCGGCUAACUCCGUGCCAACAGCCGCGGUAAUACCGAGGGUGC
rnacentral:rRNA from 1 species